UGCGCAGUACUGUUGUUCACCACAGGAUGG
rnacentral:piRNA from 1 species